CUGCUGCCUCCCGUAGGAGUUUGGGCCGUGUCUCAGUCCCAAUGUGGCCGUUCACCCUCUCAGGCCGGCUACUGAUCGUCGCCUUGGUGGGCCGUUACCCCUCCAACCAGCUAAUCAGACGCGGGUCCAUCCUGUACCACCGGAGUUUUUCACACUGCUUCAUGCAAAGCUGUGCGCUUAUGCGGUUUUAGCACCUAUUUCUAAGUUGUUACUCCCCCUGUACAGGGCAGGUUGCCCACGCGUUACUCCACCCGUCCGCCACG
rnacentral:rRNA from 1 species